CCGGGCGCUGAGGGCGUUCGGAGGGAGCGGGAGCCCGGCCCGGCUCGGCCCGGCCCGGCGAUCCCGGGAUCGGGGAAUUGCGGCGGAAAAGCGAGAUCAUCCAUGUCCGGCCCUGCCCCUGCCCGGCCGUCCCACCCUGAGCAUCCCUGAGAGCGCUGUCCAAACGCUCCUGCAGCUCUGGCGGCCUCGGGGCCCGGUCAGUGCCAGACCACCCUCUGCUGGAAGAGCUUUUCCCUAAUUUCCGACCUAAACGUGCCCUGCCACAGCUCCGGCCGCUCCCUGCCUGCUGUCCCUUGUCACGAGGGCAGAGGUCGGAGCUGUAGGUCAGCUCAGCGCUGCUGCUGAUCCUGGAAAAUGGGAAUGCUGCUGUACAACAGGCACUGUGAACGCAAGGUGGCAGGAUUUAAAAAGCACAUUUUAAAUACAGUUGCAUCCCAGAAAGGUGGCGAUAUGAAACUCGUUUCAUGGAGCACGAGUGAAGUGUCGGAAAUAACCAGGAGAGGAGCUGCAACGUUGUUCUCCAGUACAGCCAGAAAACAGGAUGAUAUUCCCAGUGAAACGACAAUAAAAGGCAGGAAGGGUGAGUUGGGCUCAAUCUUCCCUGCGUGGCUCAGAAGGUCACAAGACCCUUAGUUACAAGACCUGUUAAGGAUUUAUUGAUCAAUAAAACACUGCCAACAAGGAUA